AACCUUAUGGACCUGCGGGCGUAUACCUGCGGAAGGAUCAUUAAAAAAAAUGAUGAAUGUCGGGGGGCGUUUGUUCCCCCGUGUAUUCAACCAACCCGCUCUUGUAUUUGGAUCAACCAAAAAUCUAAAAAGCAAAAAUUAUAAUUAAUAAAAAAUAAACUUUCAACAAUGGAUCU
rnacentral:misc_RNA from 1 species